rnacentral:lncRNA from 1 species
UGAACAUAUGCUCGCGCAUAUGGAGGGAUCGGUUUUAUAACCUUAACGUAGGGAGUGUUGUAGCGAAUACCCCAGUCGCUGCUCUGCAGCUGGUUUUGUGCCAAGUACCCUUUCCAAGCUGAGGUUGGCAUGGAAGGUUACUGGAGUGCCCACAAGACUGUCUGGGAGGUUUGUUCUGGCAUUGUGGCCCAGGGGGAGCACAGACAUCACCUGCCAAUGCUUAGUACUACAGGUACAGGCAUACAGACAAGAAAACACUACGACAACUCAUUGUUUCUGUAAAAGGCGUCAUGAUAUUAGACUGCACCUGUC